NNNNNNNNNNNNNNNNNNNNNNNNNNNNNNNNNNNNNNNNNNNNAUACAGAACAGCCAAAUGAGUCCCUCUAGAGAUACAGUAGCCCUGUUGCCAUGGGAACGCAGCCAGAAGCAGCAGCUACCUCUUCAGAAAUGGAUACAUCUAGUGGCCUGAGUACAGAAUAUGAGGAUCUGCCAAUAGCUGAAAUAAGACAUUGUUUGUACAUUCAGAUAAAUUCUCAGCUACUGGAAUCAGUUGGGGACAGAAUAAAAAUUUUAGGACAGAAUUACACUGCUUUACGAGACACUUGCUCACAAGUGUCGAUCUGCCACUCUGAUAUUGUACCUCGGGGAUGUAUAAUUCCUGAUCAGAACGUGAUUCUCAAAGGAAUAGGGAAGGAGAUAGUGAGCUUGCCUGUGGCAGAUGUUUUAGUUGAUUAUCAAGGAUGGCGGGGAGUUUGGCGAAUGGGGGUUUCUUCUCAAAUUCCUACACCUUGUCUUAUUGGCACUGACUUAACAAAGCAUGUCAAGAGUGCCUUGGUGAUUACGCAAUCACAACCUGAACAAAGGGAAGCUAGUAAUGGUACUGGCUCUCAAGAACAAGAAGAGAACAUACCCCAGGCUGAGGCGUUUUCGUUGGAAAUACCUCAGAAAAGUGUAUUUGCCAGGGAUCAGAUAGCAGACCCCACUUUAAAAAGCUGUUUUGAAAAAGUGGAUGACAACGAAUUAACGCUUGAAUGUCCUGAACGUUUCAUUAUAAAGUGUGGGUUGCUCUAUAAGGAAAAACUGAUUAAUAUGGCAAAGGGAGGGCCUGAGAUCAAAAAGCAGUUGGUUGUUCCUGAUAAAUAUUGCCCUAUGCUGCUAGAAAAGGGACAUGCAGACAUUUUCUCAGCUCAUUUGGGAAUAAAUAAGACCAAACAGAGAAUAGCCCAAAACUUUUAUUGGCCUGAUAUGGGAAAACAUAUUAGGAAUUUCUGCCAGAGAUGCAUUGUAUGUCAAAAACAGGGAUAUAACCGCGACAAGACAAAAGCAAAGCUGUGUCCUUUACCAGUAAUUUCAACACCUUUUAAACGUCUAGGAGUGGAUAUCAUAGGUCCAUUGCCCACAGUCACUAAGCGAGGGAACA
rnacentral:lncRNA from 1 species